GGCCCGCCGGGCACUCACCGGCGGCCUCUGGCCGAAGCGGUCAGGGUGAAGGGCGCGCUGCAGGCUCCGAAAGCGCCGCUGCAGCCGCUGCACGUCGAGGCUGAAGGAGCGGUCACUGCGGGCGACAGAAGGCGGCGUGAGGCCCGCGGCCGGCUGCGCCCCCGGCCGCCCCGGCGGCACUCACCAGUCCAUGAGGCGGAAGAGGUCAGGCCGGGGCCCCGGCGGCUGCAGGGCCCGGCAGCUGGGGCAGAAAUGAGGCAGUCCCGCGGCGCCGGGGACGGGACCGCCGCAGCUCCAACAGCGCGGGGCCGGGGGAGAGGCCGGCCCGACGCAGCGAGGCCGCAGGGCCGCCUCGGAAACGCGGAGCGCCCACCGCGCCCCGCCGAGAUGCUGCCGCAGCGCCGCCUGCAUCCCUGCAGACUACAGCUCCCGGCAGCCCCGCGCGCCCGGCCGGGCCCCCAUUGGCCCAGUUCGCAGCGAGCCGGCGGGGCGCGCGCGCGCUGGGCCGGGCGGCGGGGAGGUCGCGCGGCGCGGGCUGCGCCACUCGGGAGUGCGGCCCCGGGCGCGGCCCGGCCCCGGCCGCCGCCGCCCUUCCCGGGAGCCAACAUGUCUCGAGAGACUGGAAAUGAAGUGCAGCAGUCUCAAGGUGCCCAACAGUCACAGAGUGGUACCAGUUCCUCUUCUAGUGCAUCACAGAGUGCUAGCCAGUCAUCCUCAAGUUCUGGGACCCUCAGUUCUUUGGACACCGUUCCCACUCAAGAGCUUCCAUCAAUUCCUGAGGAUCAGGAACCUGAAGAGCUUGUUCCUCAGCCUUGGGGUCGACUCUUUGCACUUGGAAAAGGUUUCAGCAAUUGUGAUUGCGUGAAUGAUGAAUACUGGUUUGGAAGAGACAAAAGCUGUGAUUAUAGUUUUUCAAAGCUAGGAUUGUCCGAGACUGGAUUCUACCAAAACUAUAGCAAGAAGCACUUCCGAAUUUUUAGGGAAAUGGGUCCAAAAAAAUCCUAUGUUGCCUAUAUUGAAGAUCACAGUGCAAAUGGAACUUUCAUUAAUAGAGAGCUCAUUGGAAAAGGGAGGAGACUUCCACUGACUCACAACUCUGAAAUUGCACUGUCUAUUCAGACUAAUAAGGUGUUUGUAUUUUCUGAUCUUAUGGUGGAUGAUCAGUUGGUGUUUCCUAGAGAAUUCAGAGAGAAAUAUAUCAUGUCAAAGACUUUGGGAAGUGGUGCCUGUGGAGAAGUCAAACUGGCAUUUGAGAAGAGCACUUGUAACAAAGUUGCAGUAAAGAUAAUCAAUAAACGGAAGUUUAUGGCAAGUGGUAUUAGAGAGGCAAAUCCAGCUUUUAAUAUCAACACAGAAAUUGAAAUAUUGAAGAAAAUAGAUCAUCCUUGCUUAAUCAAGAUCAAAAACUUCUUUGAAGCAGAGGAUUACUACAUUGUUUUGGAAUUGAUGGAAGGAGGAGAAUUAUAUGACAGAGUGUCAAGGCCAAUCAAGAUGAAAGAAGCUACCUGCAAAUUGUAUUUUUAUCAGAUGCUACUGGCUGUGAAGUAUCUUCAUGACAAUGGAAUUAUACACCGAGAUCUAAAGCCAGAGAAUGUGUUACUCUCAUCUUCUGAAGAGACAUGUCUGAUAAAGAUUACAGAUUUUGGACAAUCCAAGAUUCUUGGAGAAACUUCUCUUAUGAAAACAUUAUGUGGUACUCCCACGUAUCUUGCUCCUGAGGUUCUAAAUUCACUUGGGACUGCUGGAUACAGCCGAGCUGUGGACUGUUGGAGCUUAGGAGUUAUUCUUUUUGUAUGCUUGUGUGGAUAUCCACCAUUUAAUGAGCAAAACACUCAACUAUCUCUGAAAGAUCAAAUCACUCGUGGAGAAUACACAUUCAUUUCAAAAGAAUGGAAACAUGUAUCAGGCAUGGCUCUAGAUCUUGUGAAGAAGCUGUUAGUAGUGGAUCCGAGCAAACGUGCUACAAUAGAGGAAGCCUUAGACCAUCCUUGGCUUCAGUUAUUUAUAGGUAAUGUACACUGCCUGCUUGGAAGGCCAACAUUCAAUAUGUUCAGUUCUACAUAUCACACACCUUGAAUACUACCACCAAAAAAGCUGCUUACAUCCUGUUACUGCAAUUAGUAAGAAGGAGCUACUGGCUCCCCACUCCCUCUUGUGUUGUCUGUAAGUAUUGUCUUAUGAAGUGUGAAAAAAAUCCACAAGAUUCAUGCUUUGUGUGCAGCUAAUGCAUAUUAGCCUCCUCUAGUGAUUUGGGGUCCACUAGAGAAUUUUUCAGAUAUUAUAACUUGGACCCAUGGGUUGGACCCAAUGAUCUUUGUCCCUUCCAACGCCUUCAAUUCUGUGAUUCUGUGAUAAGUAUGCAUGUUCUCAAAACAAAACAUCAUUUCUACAGCUCUAUUUAAACCAGUACUGUUUUCAAAUUAGUGUUUUAAUACCUGUGCUGUUUACUCCAUUCUUCAUUUAAACCUAAAACUUUAAAACUUAGUGGGCCACUUAAACCUGAGUACUAUUCAGUGGAUAUAUUUUACCUGUAUUUACAUGAGUCAUCUGAGGUCCCAGCUAUAACUUCACUGAAGUCCAUGUCAACCAAGUAGGUACUUCUUAAUAAAACAUACUUGAAAGGCAUACAAUCAAUUAAUUGCUGUGUCUGCCUCUGUGUUACUGCAAUCUUGUGAAAGGUUCAAGAUUAUUUUGGUUGUUUGCUGAAAAAAAGCUCAGGUGUUUGUUGUGUAAGUGAAAAAAAUAUCUUGACUAUCAACUCAGAGGUAGCCACAGUCAAAACGUGACACUGAAAAUAGGUAAGUCCAAAUUCGGUGUAGAAUAAAUUGGAUGUUCACAUCAAAAUCCUUCUGUACUGCUUAAGAAUGUAAUUGAACCAAAAAAGGAGAUAUUGCAAUACUCCAUAGACUAGAAUAAGAAUCCACCUCCAUUCUUUCCUUCCACCCAAAAAAUGGUUAAAAUUUUUGAAACCCUUAGAAGCUAGAUGUUCCUUAUUUCUAAUUGUGCCUCUACCAGUGAACAUCCCAUUCACUUCUCUUUGAGUCCCCCAGUCUUUGCUGUCAUUAUGGGACAAAGUUAUAACACCUUUUAUCUUCAGUCAGUCAUUUAGAAUAAAUGUCUGUUUUUGGUUCCAGAUCAGUUGUUCAGCUGGUGAACCUACAGUCACUGUUCAAAAGCUCAGCCACAGGAAAUGAUCUGUAUUAUAUGACUAUGAGCAGCUUACUUCAUUUAGUCCCAGGAAAGGUUUCAAGACCUGAUUCAGCUUUGGAAGUCUGAUUUAGGGUUUGCAGUCAGACCUGUUCAUGCACAAGUGAGACUAAUGACAUCCCUGAGUCUACUUCGCUCCAAGUGCAUCUCCCACUUGCCCUCCCCAAACAGCAGCUGCUGGUUUACCACUUCUGGAUGAGAAUAUGAAGAAUACAUUUCAACAGCUACUUGCUCAGACAAAUGCCACUAUGAAUCCACCGCAAACAUCAAAAAUG